AUGUGGUUAAAAUCAAGAUUCACUUGCACGUUCACUCAUACAUGCUGCUUCUACUCCGGAAGUACGCAUCCACAUAUAUCCAUCCAUUUCCAUCUCCAGAACCACCCAAAAAUAUUCUACUCCUAAUCCGGGAGAGAAUAGCCAAAAAUAUUUCUGUUUUUCCCUGUGAAAUAAAUGUUCAAGUUAUCUUGGUUACUACCACUUGCUAUAUUAUUUCAGGAGAUGAGUGCUCUACUAAAAGAAAAAAAGAGAAGAAAAAAAAAGAGAUACGAGGAAAUAAAAAGGGGCAAGUGCCCGAAACCUCGAAAGAAAAGAAAUAGUGAGACGAGAGGUAAAAAUGGACAAGUGGCCGACAAUAGAAUUAGGGGUACAAGAUACCCACCUGAGAGAAAAAAAAGAAAAUAUAGAGCAUCUCAUUCUCCUCAAAAAGUUUCAAAAGGACAAGAAAGGUAUGUAUCCCCUCAAAAGAGCAAUUAGACUUUCACCAUUGUUAUCACCAUCAUCACCAUUGUUAUCACCAUUCAUUCGCCACACAUGCACAUCUUGAUUUGACUUAUUGACUUGUUCUUCUAGAUCCAUGGUUUGACUAUGCAAUAAAUGUCUUGUAAGUAUGUAUUAGCUGUCUCCCACCUAUGAGCUCCAGAUAUCAAAAGCCUUAUUAGAGUAGGGUGAGAGAGAAGGCAAUGUCACUAUGCCUCACACCAAAAAUACCACAUACUUUGAGAGAAAGCAUACACCAUUACUGCCUUGGUAAGGAUCCAGAAAUACCACAAAAGAGAGACUAGAGAGAGUCAUACAAGGAAUCUCUGAGUUUUAUUUGAAAAUAUGCAAAAACUCCAGAGCUAUAGUUAAUCGAAGAACAAGAGACAUGACGCUUGACUAGACCGUUCUAUCUUUUAACUGCUCAAGACACAAGUGACGGUUGCAAGCCCCAUGGUGGAAGGUAAAAUGAGUAAGUUUAGAUCUUAACAGUUUACCCUAACCCAGAGAUGAGAUCUUGUUUGAACGCAUGUGUAUCUUUAAGGCAUAAAACCACUGCAAAAACUCUUGAGUUCAUCUUUGCUCAGGGACGAGCAAAGGUUAAGCUUGGGGGAGCUUGAUGACGGUCCUUAAUGCUCACAUUUAACCGUCAACUAAUCAUGGAAAAGGAUCUAAAUGGAACCAACACCUAGACUUAGGGUUUUAUCUGACAGAAUUCCACGAGUUUUGGUGUUUGUCUAUUUCUGCACGGGGUUAUUAGGAAAUACGGAGGAAAGGCCCACACAUCGGGUUUACAAAGAGAUAUUAACGGGCCGCGCAAUUUUCUACCAUCUAGAAGACUCCAGAAGCCACGGGAAGGAAGCGGAGGCUGUACGGGGCCAGGCACUGGGCGCCCGCCCAGUUGACCUGGGCGCCCGCCCUCACAUAGAGUCCAAUCAGGACUCUCUUUCGGGAUAUUGCUCCACCGACCUAAAGGAUCAAGGAUAACCGUUCAAUCAAUGUCGGUUUGAUCCGAUGGCCCAGAUUCAUCUGAAAAGACUAUAUAAGCAAGCCCCCCUGACCCCUGGAGAUCAUACCUCUUCUACAGAAUCAAAGCUAGGGUUUCAAUUCUUUAUCCAAGUACAGAGGAUCCCUCUAGUUCUUCUAGUUCUACCUCUAGUUCAUCUAGUUCUAGUUCUAGUUCAUCUAGUUCUAGUUCUAGUUCCUCUAGUUCUAGUUAGUUCUAGUUGUAAUCCAGAAAAUAGGGAGAGAGAAGAGGAGAGCGGAGGAGGAGCUGGAUCUGUCGGAUCUUCCUCAACAUUGUACUUUUGCAGCAAUUGGUUCGUUCUUCAUCGUUCUCUAGAUUCUUCAAUUCAUAAUCCUGAGUUCUUUAUUACUUUUUUUUACAUUCAAGUUAUUUAUUGGAUUCCCGCUUGCAUCAAGUGCUCUAAUCUUUGAAACAUUAGAGUAGUAAUUAAUAGAUUAGACGUGGUGUCUAGUCUUGCAAUUACCUGGAAUUGCAUCCAAUCCUGCGGAUUGUUGUGGUAGCCUUAGGGUAGUGACAGCCCUAACGGUCGACGUAUUCCACCCCGUUCGGAUUGGUGUUUGUAGGACCGUAGUCAGACCUUCCUAGCCCCAUCUCAUUUCUUUCUGUGGUUAGUGCUCUGAUGUCCCGAUAUAAAUAAUCUUUGAAGUAAUUCUUGAUUCUUAGAUCAACCAGAGAACUCUUAGGAAACUUCCUCUCUUCCUACCAAAAAUAAUUAUAUAGUUAUCCUUAGGCGAUCUUGAAUCUUAAUUAGUACACUCACGUUCCCUGUGGAAAAUCGAUAUUCUGAAAUACUCCCAGGUGAAGGCUACAUCGGUAUCCGUGCGCUUGCGGAUUUUUCUAUUUGCGUUUAAAAUACCCAACAGGUACCAAAUAUAAUCAUCAAAUAAAUAAAGAAAAGGAUCCAAAUGCAACCAACACCCAGACUUAGGGUUUUAUCUGACAGAAUUCCACGAGUUUUGGUGUUUGUCUAUUUCUGCAGGGGGUUAUCACGAAUUAUGGAGGAAAGGC
rnacentral:lncRNA from 1 species